AGUGAACGCUGGCGGUAGGCCUAACACAUGCAAGUCGAACGGCAGCACAGUAAGAGCUUGCUCUUACGGGUGGCGAGUGGCGGACGGGUGAGGAAUACAUCGGAAUCUACUUUUUCGUGGGGGAUAACGGAGGGAAACUGACGCUAAUACCGCAUACGACCUACGGGUGAAAGCAGGGGAGCUUCGGACCUUGCGCGAUUGAAUGAGCCGAUGUCGGAUUAGCUAGUUGGCGGGGUAAAGGCCCACCAAGGCGACGAUCCGUAGCUGGUCUGAGAGGAUGAUCAGCCACACUGGAACUGAGACACGGUCCAGACUCCUACGGGAGGCAGCAGUGGGGAAUAUUGGACAAUGGGCGCAAGCCUGAUCCAGCCAUACCGCGUGGGUGAAGAAGGCCUUCGGGUUGUAAAGCCCUUUUGUUGGGAAAGAAAAGCAGCAGGUUAAUCCCCCGCUGUUCUGACGGUACCCAAAGAAUAAGCACCGGCUAACUUCGUG
rnacentral:rRNA from 1 species